GAUGAACGCUGGCGGCGUGCCUAAUACAUGCAAGUCGAGCGAACAGACGAGUAGCUUGCUCCUUUGACGUUAGCGGCGGACGGGUGAGUAACACGUGGAUAACCUACCUAUAAGACUGGGAUAACUUCGGGAAACCGGAGCUAAUACCGCAUAACAUGUUGAACCGCAUGGUUCAACAGUGAAAGACGGUCUUGCUGUCACUUAUAGAUGGAUCCGCGCCGCAUUAGCUAGUUGGUAAGGUAACGGCUUACCAAGGCAACGAUGCGUAGCCGACCUGAGAGGGUGAUCGGCCACACUGGAACUGAGACACGGUCCAGACUCCUACGGGAGGCAGCAGUAGGGAAUCUUCCGCAAUGGGCGAAAGCAUGACGGAGCAACGCCGCGUGAGUGAAGAAGGUCUUCGGAUCGUAAAACUCUGUUAUUAGGGAAGAAGAAAUGUGUAAGUAACUAUGCACGUCUUGACGGUACCUAAUCAGAAAGCCACGGCUAACUACGUG
rnacentral:rRNA from 1 species